GAUGAACGCUGGCGGCGUGCCUAAUACAUGCAAGUCGAGCGAACAGACGAGGAGCUUGCUCCUCUGACGUUGGCGGCGGACGGGUGAGUAACACGUGGAUAACCUACCUAUAAGACUGUGAUAACUUCGGGAAACCGGAGCUAAUACCGGAUAAUAUAUUUAACCGCAUGGUUCAAUAGUGAAAGACGGUUUUGCUGUCACUUCUCGAUGGAUCCGCGCCGCAUUAGCUAGUUGGUAAGGUAACGGCUUACCAAGGCAACGAUGCGUAGCCGACCUGAGAGGGUGAUCGGCCGCACUGGAACUGAGACACGGUCCAGACUCCUACGGGAGGCAGCAGUAGGGAAUCUUCCGCAAUGGGCGAAAGCCUGACGGAGCAACGCCGCGUGAGUGAUGAAGGUCUUCGGAUCGUAAAACUCUGUUAUUAGGGAAGAACAAAUGUGUAAGUAACUAUGCACGUCUUGACGGUACCUAAUCAGAAAGCCACGGCUAACUACGUG
rnacentral:rRNA from 1 species